rnacentral:rRNA from 1 species
UAGUCAUAUGCUUGUCUCAAAGAUUAAGCCAUGCAUGUCUAAGUAUACGCAAAUUAUACUGUGAAACUGCGAAUGGCUCAUUAAAUCAGUUAUAGUUUAUUUGAUGUUUCUUGCUACAUGGAUAACUGUGGUAAUUCUAGAGCUAAUACAUGCGUAAAAAGCCCCGACUUCUGGAAGGGGUGUAUUUAUUAAAUAAAAACCAUCCUCCUCGGAGUUUGGUGAUUCAUAAUAACUUCUCGAAUCGCACGGCCUUGUGCUGGCGAUGCUUCAUUCAAAUAUCUGCCCUAUCAACUGUCGAUGGUAGGAUAGAGGCCUACCAUGGUUGCAACGGGUAACGGGGAAUAAGGGUUCGAUUCCGAAGAGGAAGCCUGAGAAACGGCUACAACAUCCAAGGAAGGCAGCAGGCGCGCAA